rnacentral:rRNA from 1 species
GACGAACGCUGGCGGCGUGCUUAACACAUGCAAGUCGAACGGAAAGGCCCUGCUUUUGUGGGGUGCUCGAGUGGCGAACGGGUGAGUAACACGUGAGUAACCUGCCCUUGACUUUGGGAUAACUUCAGGAAACUGGGGCUAAUACCGGAUAGGAGCUCCUGCUGCAUGGUGGGGGUUGGAAAGUUUCGGCGGUUGGGGAUGGACUCGCGGCUUAUCAGCUUGUUGGUGGGGUAGUGGCUUACCAAGGCUUUGACGGGUAGCCGGCCUGAGAGGGUGACCGGCCACAUGGGGAGUGAGAUACGGCCGAGACUCCUACGGGAGGAAGCAGUGGGGAAUAUUGCAAAAUGGGCGGAAGGCUGAUGCAGCAACGCCGCGUGCGGGAUGACGGCCUUCGGGUUGUAAACCGCUUUCGCCUGUGACGAAGCGUGAGUGACGGUAAUGGGUAAAGAAGCACCGGCUAACUACG